AAGUCGUAACAAGGUAACCGUAGGUGAACCUGCGGUUGGAUCAUUAGUGGUUUUUACGUAGCGCUGUUGUAGUGUUUCUGGGGGGUUUUCUUUGGUUUUGGUUUUGGUUUUGGUGUCUUUUUGUUUGUCUGUUUUUGUGCAUUGCCUUGUGCUGCCUUGUGCUGCCUUGUGCGGUGCCGUGGCAGUACAAACGGAUCGACGGCAACACUCGGACCAGACCCAAGAACCCUUGCAGACAAUAGACGUCUUUGCUUGCUUUGAUGAAACCAAAUCAAAAACAACUUUUGACAACGGAUCUCUUGGUUCUG
rnacentral:misc_RNA from 1 species